rnacentral:tRNA from 2 species
GGGCCGUUAGCUCAGUUGGUAGAGCAGCGGACUUUUAAUCCGUUGGUCACUGGUUCGAAUCCAGUACGGCCUACCC